AUUGAACGCUGGCGGCAUGCCUAACACAUGCAAGUCGAACGGCAGCAUGGUCUAGCUUGCUAGACUGAUGGCGAGUGGCGGACGGGUGAGUAACGCGUAGGAAUAUGCCUUAAAGAGGGGGAUAACUUGGGGAAACUCAAGCUAAUACCGCAUAAGCUCUAAGGAGUAAAGCUGGGGACCUUCGGGCCUGGCGCUUUAAGAAUAGCCUGCGUACGAUUAGCUAGUUGGUGGGGUAAAGGCCUACCAAGGCGACGAUCGUUAGCUGGUCUGAGAGGAUGGCCAGCCACACUGGGACUGAGACACGGCCCAGACUCCUACGGGAGGCAGCAGUGGGGAAUAUUGGACAAUGGGGGGAACCCUGAUCCAGCAAUGCCGCGUGUGUGAAGAAGGCCUGAGGGUUGUAAAGCACUUUCAGUGGGGAGGAGGGUUGAUUGGUUAAGAGCUGAUUAAUUGGACGUUACCCACAGAAGAAGCACCGGCUAACUCCGUGCCAG
rnacentral:rRNA from 1 species